CCAUCUUUUCUCCUCUAAUUUCUAAGUAGGUCUGGGCUUGGCUUCCAUAGAGAAGAAUAUUAGAAUGGUUAAGGUUUAUGAGGAAUAUGAUUCCCAAGGAGAAGAAGAAAAAGAUGGUCUGAAUAGGAAGAUGGUGUUGGUCUCAAAGAGCCUAAUGGUUCAGAUCAAAUAUCGAAUCGAUGAUUUACCAGAGUGGCUACUCCAAAACAAAUUAGAGAGGCCAUGCAGGUUGAUUUAGCUCCCUUGUCAAGAGUCAUCUGCAGCUUGCUGGUUCCCUCUUUCGCCACUGCUGUGCUGGACACAUACGAGAUGAGGCCCUUGAAGAAGGUGACCGAUAAGGUUGGAAGAAGUUGAGGUUACACUCCAAAACCAAUUGGCAAUAAGGGGAGUAAUCCAACUCCUUAUAAACCCUUGCUAGGUUGCUCAACUUUCCAAUGUGGGACUUUUUACCUUCACAUUCUCACAAAGGUAUCCUAAACAAGCUAAUGGUUGAGGUGCAAAGUGUUCGUUGUCGUGUCCCUCCUAAGGGCAAGACGUACGGGUUUCACAACAACUAAGUAACGCAUGUGGUGUAUUUUUUACAUGGUAUAUUAAUUAUGCAUCCAUUGUACGAUGAUGAUAUGGUUAGCAUCGGUAUAAAUGAAUGUAUGCUUGGCUUUCCAAUUCCAAUGCUAUGAAUUGGUGUUUGGAGGGAUGGUGUGCAAGUGGUGUAUCCUAGUGGAUAAGGGCUCGGAUUUUGGGUACAAAACUCUUGAGUGUUUAUUCUUGUACUUGUAUUUUCCCUGGUAUAAAGAAUUUGGUAACACCGUGGACGUAGGCAGGUGUUUUGCCCAAC